rnacentral:rRNA from 1 species
CCGCGGUAAUACGGAGGGUGCAAGCGUUAUCCGGAUUCACUGGGUUUAAAGGGUGCGUAGGUGGGCAGAUAAGUCAGUGGUGAAAUCUCCGGGCUCAACCCGGAAACUGCCUUUGAUACUAUUUAUCUUGAAUUUCGUUGAGGUUGGCGGAAUAUAUCAUGUAGCGGUGAAAUGCAUAGAUAUGAUAUAGAACACCGAUUGCGUAGGCAGCUGGCUGAACGACGAUUGACGCUGAGGCACGAAAGCGUGGGUAGCGAACAGG